CCUUCGAUAGCUCAGUUGGAAGAGCGCGGGACUGUAAUUGGAUAACAAGUAGCUCAUCCCGAGGUCACUGGAUCGACGCCGGUUCGAAGGA